GACGGGUAUGGGCCUUGAGAGAGGGAGCCCAGAGUUGGAUUCUGAGACACGAAUCCAGGCCCUACGGGGCGCAGCAGUCGCGAAAACUUCACACUGGGGGGAACCCCGAUGAGGGAAAUCCUAGUGCUAGGACAUUUGUUCUAGCUUUUCUCAAGCGUAGAUAACUUGAGGAAUAAGGGCUGGGUAAGACGGGUGCCAGCCGCCGCGGUAAUACCUGCAGCCCAAGUGGUGGUCGAUUUUAUUGAGUCUAAAACGUUCGUAGCCGGUUUGGUAAAUCUUUGGGUAAAUCGGGAAGCUUAACUUUCCGACUUCCGAAGAGACUGUCAAACUUGGGACCGGGAGAGGCUAGAGGUACUUCUGGGGUAGGGGUAAAAUCCUGUAAUCCUAGAAGGACCACCGGUGGCGAAGGCGUCUAGCUAGAACGGAUCCGACGGUGAGGGACGAAGCCCUGGGUCGCAAACGGGAUUAGAUACCCCGGUAGUCCAGGGUGUAAACGCUGCAGACUUGGUGUUGGAGGCCCUUCGGGGGCAUUCAGUGCCGGAGAGAAGUUGUUAAGUCUGCUACUUGGGGAGUACGUCCGCAAGGAUGAAACUUAA
rnacentral:rRNA from 1 species